rnacentral:tRNA from 1 species
GGUCCCGGGGUAUUAGCACGCCGGAUUGCAAAUCCGGAGACGCAGAAGAAGUUCUGCCGGGGCUU